AUUGAACGCUAGCGGGAUGCUUUACACAUGCAAGUCGAACGAGUGGCGGACGGGUGAGUAAUAUAUAGGAACGUGCCCAGUAGCGGGGGAUAACUACUCGACAGAGUGGCUAAUACCGCAUACUAUUGGAGCGGCCGAUAUCGGAUUAGCUGGUUGGGGGGGUAAAGGCUCACCAAGGCAACGAUCCGUAGCUGGUUUGAGAGGAAGACCAGCCACACGGGGACUGAGACACGGCCCAGACGCCGACGGGAGGCAGCAGUGGGGAAGUUUGGACAAUGGGGGAAAGCCGGAUACAGCCAUCCCGCGUGUAUGAGAAGGCCUUCGGUGUGUAAAGUACUUUUGUCAGGGAAGCGGUAUCUGCAGAAUAAGCACCGGCUAACUACGUGCCAGCAGCCGCGGUAAUAC
rnacentral:rRNA from 1 species